AACGCUGGCGGCGUGCUUAACACAUGCAAGUCGAGCGGAAAGGCCCUUCGGGGUACUCGAGCGGCGAACGGGUGAGUAACACGUGAGUAAUCUGCCCUGCGCUCUGGGAUAGCCACCGGAAACAGUGAUUAAUACCGGAUAGGACCACUUCACGCAUGUGAUGGUGGUGGAAAGUUUUUUCGGCGCAGGAUGUGCUCGCGGCCUAUCAGCUUGUUGGUGAGGUAACGGCUCACCAAGGCUUUGACGGGUAACCGGCCUGAGAGGGUGACCGGUCACACUGGGACUGAGACACGGCCCAGACUCCUACGGGAGGCAGCAGUGGGGAAUAUUGGACAAUGGGCGGAAGCCUGAUCCAGCAACGCCGCGUGAGGGAUGACGGCCUUCGGGUUGUAAACCUCUUUCAGUACCGACGAAGCGCAAGUGACGGUAGGUACAGAAGAAGGACCGGCCAACUACGUGCCAGCAGCCGCGGUAAUACGUAGGGUCCGAGCGUUGUCCGGAAUUAUUGGGCGUAAAGGGCUCGUAGGCGGUUUGUCGCGUCGGGAGUGAAAACACCGGGCUUAACUCGGUGCUUGCUUUCGAUACGGGCAGACUAGAGGUAUGCAGGGGAGAAUGGAAUUCCUGGUGUAGCGGUGAAAUGCGCAGAUAUCAGGAGGAACACCGGUGGCGAAGGCGGUUCUCUGGGCAUUACCUGACGCUGAGGAGCGAAAGUGUGGGGAGCGAACAGGAUUAGAUACCCUGGUAGUCCACACCGUAAACGUUGGGCGCUAGGUGUGGGGCCUAUUCCAUGGGUUCCGUGCCGUAGCUAACGCAUUAAGCGCCCCGCNUGGGGAGUACGGCCGGCAAGGCUAAAACU
rnacentral:rRNA from 1 species